AAUCUUCCGCAAUGGACGAAAGUCUGACGGAGCAACGCCGUGUGAGUGAUGAAUGNCUNNGGAUUNUNAAACUCUGUUGUCAGNNNNNAACACCUGGGAUAGACUCCCAGCUUGACGGUACCUGACGAGAAAGCCACGGCUAACUAAGUGCCAGCAGCCGCGGUAAUACGUAGGGGGCAAGCGUUGUCCGGAAUUAUUGGGCGUAAAGCGCGCGCAGGCGGCUUCUUAAGUCUGAUGUGAAAUCCCACGGCUCAACCGUGGACGGUCAUUGGAAACUGGGGAGCUUGAGUGCAGGAGAGGAGAGUGGAAUUCCUGGUGUAGCGGUGACAUGCGUAGAGAUCAGGAGGAACACCGAUGGCGAAGGCAGCUCUCUGGCCUGUAACUGACGCUGAGGCGCGAAAGCGUGGGGAGCAAAC
rnacentral:rRNA from 1 species